rnacentral:lncRNA from 10 species
GUAAGAAGGAAGACUGCGUGAAGGGUGACCCUGUCGAGAAGGAAGCCAGAGAAAGUUCUAAGAAAGCAGAAUCUGGAGACAAAGAAAAGGAUACUUUGAAGAAAGGGCCCUCGUCUACUGGGGCCUCUGGUCAAGCAAAGAGCUCUUCAAAGGAAUCUAAAGACAGCAAGACAUCAUCUAAAGAUGACAAAGGAAGUACAAGUAGUACUAGUGGUAGCAGUGGAAGCUCAACUAAAAAUAUCUGGGUUAGUGGACUUUCAUCUAAUACCAAAGCUGCUGAUUUGAAGAACCUCUUUGGCAAAUAUGGAAAGUGCAAAAGUAGUUACAAAUGCUCGAAGUCCUGGGGCAAAAUGCUAUGGCAUUGUAACUAUGUCUUCAAGCACAGAGGUGUCCAGGUGUAUUGCACAUCUUCAUCGCACUGAGCUGCAUGGACAGCUGAUUUCUGUUGAAAAAGUAAAAGGUGAUCCCUCUAAGAAAGAAAUGAAGAAAGAAAAUGAUGAAAAGAGUAGUUCAAGAAGUUCUGGAGAUAAAAAAAAUACGAGUGAUAGAAGUAGCAAGACACAAGCCUCUGUCAAAAAAGAAGAGAAAAGAUCGUCUGAG